rnacentral:rRNA from 1 species
GACGAACGCUGGCGGCGUGCUUAACACAUGCAAGUCGAGCGGUAAGGCCCUUUCGGGGGUACGACGAGCGGCGAACGGGUGAGUAACACGUGGGUGACCUGCCCUCAGCUCUGGGAUAAGCCCGGGAAACUGGGUCUAAUACUGGAUAUGACUCCACGGUGCAUGCCGGUGGGGUGGAAAGCCUUGUGCGGCUGAGGAUGGGCCCGCGGCCUAUCAGCUUGUUGGUGGGGUGANGGCCUACCAAGGCGACGACGGGUAGCCGGCCUGAGAGGGCGACCGGCCACAC